AAGAGUAAAAAAUAUUAAUUAUGUUGCUCUUAAUCUUACAAGAGAAAAAAUUAUCAUAAGAAAAUACAAAAAGACACAGAGGAAGGGUGAAUAAGGCUAACAAUAAAGUGAAGGAGGUGGAGGAAUAAAAUUCUUUCGAAUUUAAGUGUUUAGAGAUCGACUGAUAUUUGUGCCUUUAUUAGGUUAGUAUUUUUCACUUUUCUAAACUGCUGCUUUAAACUGCUGCUUUAAGUUAGCAUUUUUGUGCAUGAAAAAGAACAUUUUGUCAAGUACUCGCACUUCAUAUAGAGAGACUAUCUUGAUGCUACCAUAAAAACACAGUCAAGAAGAGCUUUUCCAUGCAAAUCCAGUAGCUCUUCACAAGCUGAUUGAUUACGAUGCUAUUGUACAAAGAUAUAGCAACGGAAAAAUUAAAGACCCAUAAAAGAGCUGCAUAGCAUACCCCUUCCAGCCCUUAGUUGCAAUAGUUGUUUUCAAGGGAUAUUAUGGUUUGAUUUUGAUACUAAGUAUCUUUAGUAAGACUGCUCGAAACUAAAGCCAGAGAACACAGAGCAUAUACAAACAACAACAACAACAACAACAACAACCCAGUAUAAUCCCACUUAGUGGGGUCUGGGGAGGAAUUCUAUAUUUACUGUCACUCUGCCAGUCACAAUUAGAAGAUAAUUUACAGGUAAUCGGUAAUGAAAAGUUAAUAAUUAAUCUAAAGAAUACGAAUUGCCUGUUAAAAAUACAUUAACUUCUUUGUCAAAAGUUUAACUUGUAUGAGUAUAUGUUAUAUGCUUUGACAAUGUAUAAUUCUUCAUAGCAUAUAAUUAUAAAUACAGAUAUGUAUUUAUUGCCAUCAGAAUAGUAUAUUAACUGUUGGUAUUUGAUGCAUGAACGAUUACUUGCAAAGCCUACAUACUUACAGCAGCUACUAGAGGAUAAAAUAUAGUACCUAAUUAGUUUACCCUAUUACGAAGUAAAUAUGCCGAAAAUAUACUUAUGAAUAAUGUCAUUUAUACGACAUGAAUACAUGAUCAACAAGAGAGUCAGUAAUUACUACAAAGUGAAAUUUGUAUAGAACAUUUAUUUUAUUAGGGGCGAUGACGAUUGUAUUUUCUCUGGAAAAGUUGGAGACUUAUGUGCAUUGAUUUACCUUGUUGCAAGCUUGCUAUUUGAUUAUUCAAAAGUGGAAUACUGAACCUUAUACGUUGUAGAUCGUCUCAGACAUAUUCUAGGCAUAUGAUCUUUGUAAGACUGUAUCUUAAUGGUAUAUUCAAGGACAAACAUGGUAUAUUCAGCACAAGAUGCAUGACACCUGCAGUACCAGUUAGACACAUCAAAUUUUGGAGUCAAAAUAAUAGUCACUGCACUUUUCAAUUAAAAAAUUUGUACGGGUAUAUUAUCUGAAAGAGUUCAUGGUGAGUCCAAGUCUUUAGAAUCAUUAGGAUUUAAGUGUUUUACUGAGUCCAAGUCAUAAGGUUCAUUAGGAUAGAAGUGUUUCCGUAUCUCCGCAUAUUUUCCUUUUCUUACAGCAAUAACAACAACCCAGUAUAAUCCCACUUAGUAGGAUCUGGGGAGGGUAGUGUGUACGCAGACCUGGUACUGCAGGUGUCAUGCAUCUUGUGUUGAAUAUACCAUGUUAAUUUGUCCUUGAAUAUACCAUUAAGAUACAGUCUUACAAAGAUCAUAUGCCUAGAAUAUGUCUGAGACGAUCUACAACGUAUAAGGUUCAGUAUUCCACUUUUGAAUAAUCAAAUAGCAAGCUUGCAACAAGGUAAAUCAAUGCACAUAAGUCUCCAACUUUUCCAGAGAAAAUACAAUCGUCAUCGCCCCUAAUAAAAUAAAUGUUCUAUACAAAUUUCACUUUGUAGUAAUUACUGACUCUCUUGUUGAUCAUGUAUUCAUGUCGUAUAAAUGACAUUAUUCAUAAGUAUAUUUUCGGCAUAUUUACUUCGUAAUAGGGUAAACUAAUUAGGUACUAUAUUUUAUCCUCUAGUAGCUGCUGUAAGUAUGUAGGCUUUGCAAGUAAUCGUUCAUGCAUCAAAUACCAACAGUUAAUAUACUAUUCUGAUGGCAAUAAAUACAUAUCUGUAUUUAUAAUUAUAUGCUAUGAAGAAUUAUACAUUGUCAAAGCAUAUAACAUAUACUCAUACAAGUUAAACUUUUGACAAAGAAGUUAAUGUAUUUUUAACAGGCAAUUCGUAUUCUUUAGAUUAAUUAUUAACUUUUCAUUACCGAUUACCUGUAAAUUAUCUUCUAAUUGUGACUGGCAGAGUGACAGUAAAUAUAGAAUUAGAGACUUUGACGAAGUACUUUUGGGUCUUACUUGCUAUAGUAGACACACGAAAUGCCAAUUUGAAUUAUAGCCAUUGUAUUAACCAUGGGCUAGCUUUUAAUUUGUGUUUGCAGGGAAAGUCAACCAAAAGCCACCAAAUCUAAGUACAAAACCCAUCCUCUAUUCUCUGAAGAUUAUGGAACUAUAUCGAAUUUUGAAAUUAGUAUUUGGAUAUUGAAAGUAUCCUGACAUGUUGUUUUAGAUGAACUUAGUUAACAAAGUCAACCAAAAGAUUCCAACCAUAAUCAACAGAAAUACAUGCAUUCCACAGUCAGAAACCCAAAUAAGCCUGCUGCAUAGUCCUGACUAAAUAUAGAGGAAAGCAAACACUUGAGACGGAAAGAAAGAAAAGAGAGAAUAUAUAGAAAACAAUUUCUUUGUAUUGGGUAGUUGGAUUAUGUUUUGAAAUUCUAAUGUAAUUGUCAAAUUUGGACAAUAACUAUUAUACUAGAAAGCUAAAAGGCGGACUAAGUUUUUAGGAUCGAAUUAGCUAGAAUAGUAUAUUUAAUUAAUUGAUAGCUUCAUCAUAGCUCCUAACUGGUGUAGUUAAUAAUUUUUAUAAUGUUUCUUGAUUUAUUUUAGUGUAAAGAAUAUCAUUGUAUAUGCAAAAGUUUUGCAACGAUGCAAAUUUUCCACGAGAAAUAAAAUUAUAUUUUUCAUAAUAAACUUAAAAAAUUAGAUUACGUGUUCUACAUCCUUUUGGUCUUGUAUAUUGACGUCUUAAACAUAUAAAGUAAAAUUAUCCUAGAAAUUUUUUAUUUAUAUCUCCCGUACGAUGCUUACUGUAAAUAUUUUUGAUAUGUGAUAUACUUAUAGAUGAGUCAAAAAGUCAUAAUGCCACAUAAUUAAAGUUUAUGUUGAUUUGUGCUUGUAUGUACACAUCGAUCGUAUUUAUAUCUAACUAAAUUUAAGUAAUUAUUUUUAUGCGACAAUUAAGUUUGAGCUUGUAUUUUUCUUUUUACUAUUAUUUAUUUAUCUAUAUUCUAUAUUAUUAUAAAAUUGGGAAGCCCUAAAUUGAAAAGUCAAGUUACCAUAACACCCUUCUAAAAAUCUAAAUACCCUAUUUGUAAAAUAAAUAAAAAGAAAAACACCAUUUUUUUCUGAAGGGAUGUAACCCUUCAGAUAAGUUACUAUGUUUAAAUUAUAUUCUAAUUAAAUAUCUUAUUUAAUUAAAAAGAACUCUAUUAAAAUAACCUAGCCCCUACGAAAAUAACACUGUUUUGGAAAAUACGUCUAUCAACAGUAUCUAUUUUUAUACAGUGCCUCGAGUUUCUUUUUUCCCGUUUCUAUUAGCCUUAGUGAAGAGAUUGCUAUUGAAUUUUCCAACCAAUUCUUUAUUAGCGUUUUUGUCAAGGCAGUAUUAAAAAAAGGCAAAAAAUGUAUCUUGGCACCUUCUUUGAGAAAUUUGACAGAAAUUUGACCUGAUUUAGUACUUCUGUUGCAUCAUUAAGCUUAAAAUCUAAUGUCCCAAUCUUUUGAAGGAAAGGCACUACUUCUAGGCCUCUAAGGCCAUGUGCUUAAAACCAAUCAAGGAAAAUAUUCUUAACCACAUGGAGAGUUGGUUGUCCCUUAUUGGUUCAUCAUUUUGUGCUAAUCAAAUAGGGAUAUCUGCCCCCUUCUCCAGAAGCUUCUAAGUGUAGAAAUUAUCUGAAAGUCCCUAUCGCAUUUCCAGCUUAAACCCUUAAGUUUUUGAUCUAUUCAAUUCAGACCCUAAGAGUUUUAAACAUUUACGAACCUAGGUAAACAGAAAAUAAAUAAACUAAUAUCAACAAACGGAUUGAAAGCAAACAAAUUCAAAGUUGUAAAGAGUAUCUAACAACUAGUGAAUGAACCUAAACCACUAAAAUGAAACCAAUUCAUAAUGAACUAAGCUAUAUAAAGAACCCUAAAUAGAACUUGCACAAGUACUGGAAUGAUUCUGGAAGCUAGAACGGACAAAUCGAUACACUCUAAAGCAAAUUAUUAACUAAACAUGCUCAAAUAAACCACAACAAUGUAAUUGAACCUUGCGUUAUACCUAAAUUAUUUUAUCAUAAACUAAAAUCAGAAAUUACUAUUGGAACAGAAUUAUUUCAUGCAUCGAACUAAAUUGACUUUAGACAUGUGAUGGAAUUCUAAUCUGACGUCCUAAAUAAUAAAACAAAACAAAUGACACACAAAACCUAACAUGCAACUAAACGGAAUUGAAAUUAUGAUGAGCAAAUUUAGGAAGAAGAGGCAAAGAACAGAAGAAACAAAACAAAAAAGAACAGAAAUGAAUUAAUGACUAAAGGCUGGGGAGUACCGAUUUAAUUAACAAGACGACCAACAAAAGCAACAACGGAAGACUGGCUAGGCUCGAAAUGCUUCGACGAGGCUUGAAACUAACCCAAACGAAAUACUUUGGUCAAGAAUAGCCUAUUUGGGCGAGCUUCCAGCCAAGACGAACAAAAACUUCAAAGAAAUCCCAAAAAUCAGAAAUUAGGUCAAACCUAAAUCAGGGAUUAGACGAGUUCCAAAGAUUGUUUGGGGAAAUAGUUAAGAAUUUUGAGUUUGGGAAGGCCUGGUGAAUUGGGUGAGUUAGGGUUUUUAGGCUUCAAUUUCAAAUCUGAAAUCGAUGAAUUUGGGUGGUGUUUUUGGGGAAACUAACGAUGGAAUAAUAUUGAGGAUGGGCUCAUGGUUUCAUGGUACAAAUUUGAAGGUGUUUAGAGCACUGGAACCACCGUGGGGCGAUUUCAAGUGGUGGUUGGCGGCAGAGGAUAUUAGGGCGGCGGUCUCUUAGGGUUUGGUUGAAAUAAACGAGAACGAUAG
rnacentral:lncRNA from 1 species